rnacentral:rRNA from 1 species
CCUACGGGGGGCAGCAGUGGGGAAUAUUGGACAAUGGGGGGAACCCUGAUCCAGCCAUGCCGCGUGUGUGAAGAAGGCCCUCGGGUUGUAAAGCACUUUCAGUGAGGAAGAACGCCUGGUGGUUAAUACCCAUCAGGAAAGACAUCACUCACAGAAGAAGCACCGGCUAACUCCGUGCCAGCAGCCGCGGUAAUACGGAGGGUGCGAGCGUUAAUCCGAAUUACUGGGCGUAAAGCGCGCGUAGGUGGCUUGAUAAGCCGGUUGUGAAAGCCCCGGGCUCAACCUGGGAACGGCAUCCGGAACUGUCAAGCUAGAGUGCAGGAGAGGAAGGUAGAAUUCCCGGUGUAGCGGUGAAAUGCGUAGAGAUCGGGAGGAAUACCAGUGGCGAAGGCGGCCUUCUGGACUGACACUGACACUGAGGUGCGAAAGCGUGGGUAGCAAACAGGAUUAGAUACCCCGGUAGUC